AAAAAGAAAAUUACAAGUAGAAGAAAAUAAUCUACACAAACAGCUGUUUCACUACGAGACCUUGAAGAAGUCGGAUAUUUCUCUGCACGUCCGCCACCAUCGGGAUGUUGACACUGGACACGUAACGGCCAGAACUUACGUCACGUUCUUCACACUAGGAAUGAACUUCAGUAUGGUUUUAAAGGCAGGCUCUCCUGUAGUGGCC